AUAUAGGAAGCACCAGACUGGAUCAAACCAUUGGGCCAUAUAGUCCAGUAUUCUGCCUCCAUCUGUGCCCAGCAUCUGCUACUUCAGAAGAAAGUGAGCCAACAUUCCUUCGACACUAUUCUUACAACUCUGAGAUGUGUGUACCCUGUAGAUAAUUUUAUCUAACUUUUUACUGGCUGUAGAGAAGAAACUAUUUUGCAAAGAGGAAAGCAUGAACAAGGAGAGAUGUACGAUCAGACAGAAAGGCAUCUAUGGCUUGGACAAACAGAGCCAAAGUGCUGAGGCACACCCAAGGCUGGCUGAUCUCGUACGGCCUGCUUUAAACUAUCUUCACCAGGGGAUGGGGCCACAGGGGGACACGAGGACAUUUCCCAGCCAAGACAGGUGACAAGCACAAGAAGUACCCAGAUUCACCGCAUUUCUGCUUCAACUGUCUGCAGCUGGGGGAUUAAACGCAUAAAUCAGCAGAAGACCUUAUAUUCUUUCUUUUUAGUCUGACUACUAGACUAUUGGAAACAUCAGCCAUGGCACUGAAAACUUUCAGCACUUCCCUAUAAACACAUUCUAAUACAUUCAUCAGUUGUUUGGAAUUAGGCACUCCGUGGCCAGCCACAGGGCUAAAGAAACAGCAUCCCCCGCCCCCAUUAGUCUCUUUCACAAGGGUGUGUUCUUUAUUAACUCGUACAAACCCUUCCCUUUGUCAGACGCAACAGGUCAUUUCCUCUCCCUCCUCUGUGCAUGGUUGUAAUUAUUCUUUGCCAACUCAAAACAUUUUAGAUUCUCUUUUCUCCCUGUUCCCUGCAGGCAACACAACCAAAGGAACUAAAUAGAAAAAAAUAAAAGCCUUGUUCAGUGUUAUGCCUUUUUAACUUAGUCCUAUCUGCCUUUCCAAUUAAGGGUGAACAGGUCAAAC